rnacentral:rRNA from 1 species
UUGAAAGGUCAAGCGAACAAGGGCGCAGGGCGAAUGCCUUGGCACUGGGAGCCGAUGAAAGACGUGAUAAGCUGCGAUAAGCUUCGGGGAGCUGCAAAUAAGCAUUGAUCCGGAGAUUUCUGAAUGAGGAAACUCACCUGGGUUCAUACUCAGGUACGUUAUACUGAACUUCAAAAUAGGUAUAUCGAGGGAACCGCCUGAACUGAAACAUCUAAGUAGGGCGAGGAAGAGACAUCAAACGAGAUUCCGUAAGUAGUGGCGAGCGAACGCGGAAGAGGGCAAACCGAGAGUAGAAAUACUUUCGGGGUACGGAGCGCAUUUAGGACUUAAGUUGUUAACCGAACGGCAUGGGAAGGCCGGUCAGAGAGUGUGAGAACCACGUAGGUGAAAACGACAAGAGCUGAGCGAAUUCCAGAGUACGGCCAGACACGUGAAACCUGGUCGGAAUACGGGGGGACCACCCUCCAACCCUAAAUACUACCCAGUGACCGAUAGCGUAUAGUACUGUGAAGGAAAGGUGAAAAGCACCCCGGGAGGGGAGUGAAAAAGAACCUGAAACCCUGUGCCUACAAGCACCUAGAGCACGUCAAUGUGUGAUAGGGUACUUUUUGUAGAACGGUCCGGCGAGCGAUUGUAUGCAGCAAGGUUAAGGACUUAAGGUCUGGAGCCGAAGCGAAAGCGAGUUUGAAAAGGGCGUUAAGUUGCAUAUAAUGGGCCCGAAACCGGGUGACCUACCCAUGGUCAGGUUGAAGUGGAAGUAAAAUUCCAUGGAGGACCGAACCGACCUCCGUUGAAAAGGCGGCGGAUGAACUGUGGGUAGCGGAGAAAUUCCAAUCGAACCCGGAGAUAGCUGGUUCUCCCCGAAAUAGUUUUAGGACUAGCCUCAAGUUAGAUACCUGGAGGUAAAGCACUGAAUAGCCUAGCGGCCGAGAGGUUAGCGAAGCUUAUCAAACUCAGAAUGCCAGAGUAUUGAUGCUUGGGAGUCAGACAGUGUCAGAUAAAUGUCAUUGUCAAAAGGGAAACAGCCCAGAUCUACAGCUAAGGUCCCAAAGUCAGGUUAAGUGGAAAACGAUGUGAAGAUACGUAGACAACCAGGAUGUUGGCUCAGAAGCAGCCACUCAUUCAAAGAGUGCGUAAUAGCUCACUGGUCGAGCGUCUUUGCGCGGAGAAUUUAACGGGGCUAAACCUGACACCGAAGCUUAGGCAGCAUGUUUACAUGCUGGGUAGGGGAGCGUUGUAUACGCGGUGAAACAGUAGCGCAAGCGGCUGUGGAGUGUAUAGAAGUGAGAAUGCCGGAAUGAGUAGCGCGAAUGCAGUGAGAAUCUGCAUGGCCGAAAGCCUCAGGUUUCUGGAGGAAGGUUCGUCCGCUCCAGGUUAGUCGGGAGCUAAGGUGAGGCCUAACGGCGUAGCCGAUGCACAGACGGUAGAGAUUCCGUCACCACCAAAAGAGUUAAACACAGGGACACAUAUGAAGUCUCGGAGCCGGGUGUUGGUUCCGGUAGCGAUCGAGGGAAGUUAGUACCGAAGUC